rnacentral:lncRNA from 1 species
UCGCCACAAUCUGUAUGUAUGUGCCUGUCCAGUCAGGAUCCUGUAAUUCGGUACAUGUUGUCGUUUGUUGCUGUGUUACAUAUUUGUUUUUCGUUUAUUUUUGUACAUUUAUUCUUAGGCCGUUAGUUUUCUUGUUUAAUUGAUUUACAUCUGUCAUUUCGGACCUUUUAUUGUUGAAGGCCGUACUGUGACCUGUAGUUAUUAAUUUCUGUAUCAUUUGGUUUCUUGUGAAGAGUUGACACAUUGAAAUUAAUAC